rnacentral:tRNA from 1 species
CGGGCAGCAGCUCAGUGGUAGAGCUCCCGCUUCAUAUCCGGGAAGACCUGGGUUCGAUUCCUGGCUGCUUAC